GUUAGCAUUUAUUUUUCUAUUUACCAGUCAUUUGGAAUUUGGACAUUUUCUGUCCUGUGGUUGUGGUGAGGGUGUGGGUUUUGUGUUGUUUUAUAUAUUCUUUGUUAUUUUUUAUUCUAGUUUUUGUUUUUGUUUUGGAAGGUAUUUUAGAGAAAUAAGAUUUCUGUGGUUACCAUGACCUGCUGUUACAGAUUACAUGGUACCCUCUCUUCAUAUGUUGAAGUCCUAGCCACCCCGCCGAACCUCAGAAUGUGACUGUAUUUGGAGAUAGGGUCUUUACAGAGGAAAUCAAGUUAAAAUGAAGUCAUUAGGGCAGGCCCUAAUCCGAUAUGAUCCUGUGUUCUUAGAAGAGGAAAUGUGGACUCAGGUGUGUAUGGAGGGAAGAUGUCUUGCAAGCCCAAGGAGAAGAUGGCCAUCUGAGCCCACGUCCUGGAACAGAGACUUCCCUCACAGCCUCAGAAAGAACCAGCCCUGCUGACGUCUUGAUCUCAGACCUCCAGCCUCCAGAACUGGGAGACGAUUCAGUCAGCAUCUACACAACACAGGGUUGAACUGUGCGGGUCCACUUCUAUGCAGAUUAUUUUCUUUUUUCUUUUUUGAGACAGAGUCUCGCCCGGUUGCUCAGGCUGAAGUGUAGUGGUGUGAUCUUGGCUUACUGCAGCUUCCACCUCCCAGGUGCAAGUGAUUCUCCUGCCUCAGCUUCCCAAGUAGCUGGGACUAUGGGUACUCGCCACCACACCUGGCUAAUUUUUGUAUUUUUAGUAGAGAUGGGGUUUCACCAUGUUGGUCAGGCUGGUCUUGAACUCCUGACCCCAAGUGAUCUGCCUGCCUUGGCCUCCCAGAUUGCUGGGAUUACAGGUGUGAGCCACCGUGCCCGGCCCUAUAUAACUCUUUGUGCAAGUUUUUACCCCUAAAAGAUAUCUGCCAUCUCAGCCAUGGAACAGACACUGUAAGAACAUGAAGGCUCAAGGGCAGGGCUGGCUACAUAAUUUGUGGGACCCAUUACAAAAUGAACAUGGAGAAAAAACUAGAAAAAAGUGUAGUACAAGGUACUAUAAUAGAUUUUUCCUUUGAAAACAGUUUAAUACUUAUAAAAUGUAAUAGAGGGAAAUAGUGACACGUGAGUAACAAAAUGGGCGUAUCAAUUGGUCUAUGCUAUUUUUGGUGUUAUAAUUUUACCUAAUAUAAUAAGCAGCAACACUUUGUUAGUGAGACGGGCUUUCACCAUGUUGGCCAGGCUGGUCUGGAACUCCUGACCUCAGGUGAUCCGCCUGCCUCAGCCUUCCAAAGUGCUGGGAUUACAGGUGUGAGCCUCUGCGCCCGGCUGUGAUGUCUUGAUUGAUCAUAGGAUUUUUCUGGCUAUUCUAGCUACUUCCAAUUCGCUUCAGCCAAUUUAGUUGAAGUUUUAUCACUUGUGACUUCAGAGUCCUGGUUAAUAUCCUGUUGCCCUCAGGACAUGCAGGAUGGAGGAAGGCACCAGGGAGCCGAGGGAAGUGAGCAGAGAGGCAGUCACUUCAGGGCCACCAGCAUAGCCCCCGUCACUGUCCACAGACACAGGCCCUUCCCCUUCUCAUGGUUGAGCAGGCUCCACCUCACUUCCGUGUAUGACUUCAUAGACCGUUAGGUUCCGUGGUACCCUGGAGUCCACAGCUGCUGAAUCUGAAGGGCCAUCAGAAGACUGGCUUCUCCAUGAUGGUUUAUGGACUAAGGCAAAGAUGAGCAGAGCCAUGGCCCUCUUCUUUGUUCUCUGCUGGAUCCAAGUAGAGAUGGGAUUUCAUCAUGUUGGCCAGGCUGGUCAUGAACUCCUGACCUCAAUGGAUCCUCCUGCCUCAGCUUCCUGAGUAGCUGGGACCACAGGUGCACACCACCACGCCCAGGUAAUUAAUUUUUAUUUUUUGUAGAGUCGGGGGUCUCCCUAUGUUUCCCAGGCUGGCCUCGAACUCCUGACCUCAAGUGAUCCUCCCACCUCAGCCUCCCCGAGUGCUGGGAUUAAAGACGUGAGCCACGGCACCUGGCCUGAAUUUUCCUCAAAUUCAAAAAAUCCUGAUGAAGGUUUGGCUAAAAUCUUUGGUGAGUUACCCCACUCCCUGUGGAACCUCAGGCUGGAUUUGAAGAGUUGCGUGCAUGGUCCUCAUUGUCUCCCAGGUAACCUGUUCCCGCUGCUGUGAAGGGAAGGCAGGUGCUCUUCCUUGAGGCUAGAAUCUGUCUACGUGUCACAGUCUCAGGAAAUUAAGCAAAACAGAUGAUAAACACCUCAAAAGGACCCUACUGAGCAUCAGUGGAGCAGAGCAGGGCCAUGUGGGACUGCGGCGUCAGAUGCCACCUCACACUAGCUGUGACACACCUGCCUCGCCAGUUUCUGCUCUGAGGCCCCAAAGCCGAGCUGAACCUCCUCCAGGGGUUCUCAGCCCUAACUGAGCAUGAAAACCCCUGGGGCAAUCCUCUUUUUAACAAUUGAGACAUUCCACACACACCCCACAUCAGAUUUUGGGGUGUGGGGAUAGACCUUCACAUUUGUAGUUUUCUAACCCUCCAGGGGACACUAGGCUGAGACUCAUUGGUCUCCACUCUGAACCUUCCACUGAACAUGUGAGAAAAACUAAGGCCCAGGGAAGUCUUUAGCAGAGAGCUGAGACGGAGAAAAGGGUUCUGAACCACAGCUGUCUGCUGAAGGAAGCUGUCCAAAGGCCAGUGAAGUCUCUCCUGAGGGUGCCUGGGCUGUGCAUCAGGAGUGAAGGUUGAGGGUCACCUUAGGUGUGAGAAGGAGCAACUGGGAGAGUGGCGCUGAUGCUUCCCCCCGGGUUAGGAGGCAUUUGGAUCACAGAGCGAUGCCUGUUCAUUCCUGCUUGCAAGGGAGCAGAUCUCUCGACACCCGAUGGGCCUCUAUUCCGUUCCGGCAGCUGUCCGUGUCAGGAGCGCUGGGCUUGCUCCUCCCCACGGGAGCCAUCACAGAGGCCUCGGGCAGUCUGCAUAGACAACUGCCUGGCAGGUGACCAGGAGGGGAUGCAUGAGCAGAUGCAGGUAGCACUCGCAGUCCCCCUAGCUGUGCCCUCAGCACCUGCUGUCUAGGAGGCAGAAGCCUUGUUCUCGGCCUUGCAGGUGACCCCAGUGUCUCUGAAUUCGGCCCCAUAUGUGUAGGAGGGGAGUGAUUGCAUCUGAAGAUGGGAGUCUGGUUGGGGGUUUGGGAAGCUCCCAUCACCCCUCAAGAGUCCACUGACCAGCCCAGCUCACACCAGGUGGGCCUUGGCACUGGAGGCCACGGCUCAACUCUGCAGUUCCCUCUGGGCAGCAUUUCCAGGGACUCGUAGGUCAGCAUGGUCAUCAAGGACAGGUGGUGAGAGCAGCUCCUCAUUGUCCUGGUGACCCCGAUGGUUCAUUUUCUGGUGUCUCUGUGGUGAGCUCCUGUUACAUCAAGCGAGUGGAAACCACCGAGGACCAACAGCCCUGGAAAUGCACUGAGAAUGCAGGAUGAGUGGGCUUUGUGAGGACUGUUUUCUGUGACUUAGCAAGGAAAGCCUGGAAGGGAAAGUAAAACUGCUUCUUCCCAGGGAAGCCAGAAACCUGAGAACUUAAAAGGGAAGGAGAACUUAAUAUAUUUCAAAAAUGUAACCCUUGUGAAUUAGCAACAGCUUUAUAAACAAAGAGAUUUCCGAGCUUAUAGAAUCUAUUCUGCUUUGUUUCUGCCCCCAUGGCUCCUACCCCUGUUUUUGUGGGUACAAUUUUCAUAUAGAACAUUUUUACACAAGCUUCAAAACUCUCUGAGGACAGCUUUCCCCUUUGUGUCUGUCGGGUCCCAGGCAGUCACAUCCCAGGAAGUGCUGGGGUUGGGCUCCUUGCUCCACAUCCUUCUUCAGUGGCACGAAGCGUGGGGUGGAGUGUGUGAGUCAUGUGUGAUCUUGGUGUGGGCUAUGGCUGGUCUGCAGCACCCCUUCAAUGACUGCUUCAAGGGCUUUUCAUGAUGCUUGUAGCUCAUGAGCUAGUGUUUCCUAGAUGCUGUUUCCAGGUGUCUUGCAUGUCACACACUGGCCUACCAGGGCUGGAGUGAGAUCAUGAGCGCCAGAUUGUUGGUGAAGGAAGUUGACAGAGACAUCGAAUGUCGGUGAACAGGAGUGACCUUGGGUCUCAAUAAAUACUGUGGUCAACUGAAUCCAGAACCCACCCUUACCAGCAGGGCCCACUUCUUCCCCAGCAGGCCGAGCUCUUCCCCUCCUGUCUUCCCUGGCCCUUGCUUUGUAGCUCUGUGUGGCUGUGUCAUGUCUGGUUGUAUCUGUAUAUACUUCUGCCUCUCCCGCUAUCUAGAUGGCUCGGGGAGGCACACCACACACCAGGUCACCUUCCUCUCUGAACCCCCAGCACCUCAUACUGUUUCUGUGCAGAGAUAAGGCUGGGUGAAAGCUUGUGUGAAUGAUCUGAAGUCUUCUACUCUAGGCCAGUCUCCAGGAGCAUUAUGAUCUUUAGGAGGGUGGGCUUGGUUCCUCUGUACAAUAAUGGGUCAUAAAACUGAGUGGUCAAGAUCAUCCCGGUGAGGGCAGUCCGUGUGUUGCCAUAGUUGCUGUACCGGUUAAGAAUGCACCUGGCUGCAAUUUCCUGAAAACCUGACGUAUAGUGGCUUAAACAAAGAGUGGUUUAUUUUCCUUCUGUCAUAGCAAUCUGGGGGAGGCCACUGUGGCUUUGGCGCAGGAGGUCGGGAAAGGCCCGCUUCUCUGAUAUCAUUGGGGGCCUCCCCAGUGCUUGUGUGGCAGAAUGACAAGAGGAAGAAGAAGGAGAAUUAUGGCACUGAGUAUCAUGAGAUUUGGGGUCAUAUAUCUUUAGUGGGCGGUGUUUGCUGCCCCAAAUGUCUCAUGCCAUUAAAAUGUUCUGGAAAUGAUUUAGGUAGUUGGAGUUUCCUUCCCAAAGACAAGGCAUUUACAGCAUGAUGUCCAAUAUCCAUUGAGUUUGUGUCAUGCAUUCAUUGUAUUCAUAGUCUGCUUUAGGUACUUAGCAAAAUAUUGCUGAUAUUAACAUGCCUUUGUUUGCUUCACUGGAGAUGAAAUUGUGCUCCAAGUGUUUUCCAAGGUUCCGUAUGACCCAUCAUUUGAUGAAACAAGAACAGCAGUCAGAUCCAUUACAAAGAGAGACACACAAAAAAACUAUGUGAAAAUGAGCUUAGCCCCUGGUGUUGUGUUGGAACUUCAGAUGCUUGCAGACACUUCAUGAAUGCUCUGUGACACUCAGAAUAGGCUAUUCCCAACAGAAGAGCUUGAACAAUGCUGCAUUUGCAUCAGGUUCAAAUGAGCGAGAGGAACAUUUGGCUAAAAUAUUUGGAACCAGCAUUGCUUGGAAUUCUCCUAAACCAGAAUAUUUCCUUGGCAGUGUGGACAAAAUUCCUGAUAAAGAUCACCUUUCAGAGGAGAAGAAUUUUAAAGAAUCCUGUCUGUUCGACAGGGAUUUAAGAGAGCAGUUAACUACUAUAGAUAAAGAAACACUUCAAGGAGCAGCUAAACCAGAUCUCCUCUGGCAAACACGACAUAUAAUAUUUUUAUAAUGGAUGGAAAGACAUGGUGGCACAAUUCUGAAGAAAAAAAUUUCACAAAACUUGCAAAAAAACAGAAACAGUUGAAGAGCAGCUCCUGUGUCUAAGCCAGGUCGUGGGGCCGUCAAACCAGGACUUGAAACCACAAUGCGAGGACAUUCUCCAUCUGCGCACCACAGGGAGGCAAUUCCAUUUCUGCCCGGGAGGUGUAUUCUACAAAAACGUCUGCUUCCCAUCCCAAUUUGAAUGGACCAAGAAAAACUGCUUUACCAUAGGACACUUGUGGCAAUAUGGCACCGAUGGCUGGCGUCGGUGAACCCGACAGACUAUGGAUUUAUCAUUUAAUAAAGCAUUGAUUCAUUUUUUCAGUCAUUCAUUGAACAGAUAUUAAUAGACCACCUCACAUGCUGACAAUAUCAAAAUACAAUGAGGAAACUAACAGUGACCCAGGCAUGCAUUCUUCCCCGAGCAAGAUCACAGUCCAUGGUGUGAGCACAACCAUACUAAAUAGCUUUUAUGGGAGGUGGGAGUACAGAAAGUAUUAUAUCUGCAAAGAAACUGCUAAGAAUUGUGGGAGCGCCCCAGGAGGUGAUUUCCUGCUUGCGUGACCAGCACAAAGAAAUGGGGUAAUUGAGAGUGUCAUGAAGUGGGGUUAUUUAUUUAUUGAGUC
rnacentral:lncRNA from 10 species